UGGGGUGCCUGGUGGCAAAGAUGGGGGUGGUGCUGUGCGCCCCAGCAGGCCCACUAAAUUCUGGGUGGCUGUCCCUAAAAAUCGAGGCCCCAUGUCAUGUUUCCGGGGUGCCCUGUGCUUGUGCAACACGGGCGCGUGGUGCGAACCAACGUGCGUGGCACUCUAGGCCUCAGUGGUAGUGGAGGAACCUGUGACCAGUUAGAGGGUUACAAGGUAGGCGCAUCCCGACCGACUGAGUUAAGGCGCAGGUAGUUGGGUCGAGGGUCCUAACAGGGACCUACUUGCCAAGCAGGGGACAGUCCCCUGGAUAGUCUCGGGCAGAGCGCGCAGCCUCCACCUGCCUGAGCAGGCAGGGCGGGCUGCGAGGCACCUCGAAUAGCAGCAGCCAGAUCCUACGCGCCCCUAACCUCUGCUUUGCUCGGGAUCUCCUAGCAGCCUUGGGGGGCCACCAGGUGCACCAUGAAGGGAAGGCUGGCUUGGCCAAGCCAGAUCUGGGCCCCGCGUGGAGCCCCCCACCCCCGCACAAUGUCUGCGCCCUUCCGCAGAAAAAGAAGCAGGGCGGGAAAUUUAGCUCAAACCAGACCUGUAAGCCAGAGCUCACUGAAGUGCUUCUAAGUGGCGCGCCUUUGGGACCCCACCCAGUAUGUGCAGAUAACAGUUCCCUGUCCUCAGCACUUUGAAUUUGCUUAGUUGCAGGUUCGGCCCCAGGGGCCAAUGCGAUAAUUUGGGGUUAUUAAGAAACUAUCCCCGGGUGGUUUCAGAUAUAAGAAGCCAUUGUGAUUUUUACCAAGUCAAAAUCACGCCUAAACCUGUGCACCUUGUUUCCCUUUCCCGACCUCCGCACCUCUAGGCCUCUAAGGGGCCACUUCUGGCGGAAACUGCUGCACCCGGGGCUAACCUCCCGGCUCGACCAUCAAUCACCGCGCCCGCGCUCUACAUUCGUUUCCCCAAGCCCUCGACCUGUAGGCUUGGAGGCUCCAAGCCGCCCGAGAGCUCUGUCCUUCCCGCUUCCUGGCCGCCCAGGCGCUUUCCCUACCACCGCGUUGUUUGCAGAGUGCACACAAAGUGGCGCGCGUUUCGGAGCGCCCAGCCCAAAGGAGCGCGACCGCGGAGGGAGAAGCCAGCAGCCCGCUCCCGCGCUACUCCGCAGCAGCCCUGAGGACAAACUGCGAGGUAGCCGGUGCCCCGCAGUGGAAGAGCUGGGGCACGAGGGAGCGCGCCACGGGGAGCUCACCGCAAGGCCGAAGGUCGGGUCCGCUGGCGCAGGAGGAUCGGAGGAGAAGGGCGGGAGAGCGGAUGAAGUGGGAGCUGCUGAAGUGGACGCUGCUGAAGAGGUCUCUGGAGAAGCCGCUGACUCACACCCCGGAGAUGAACUCCUGGACUUUGCCAGGGUCCCCAGCAUGCUCUUCCUCAUGCCUGUGCUGGAUGCCUGCCACAGAGGACACACUCAACUGGGCUGCGGACUUGGACACCACAUAGGGACUCCACACCAGGAAGACCCAAGCAAUGCUCUGUGCCAAUCUUCAAGCCUGGGAAGAAGUCACUACCUGAACCACCAACAUGAGGAUCGCACCAAACUGAUCAACACAACCCACACCAAAAAUUCUUUCCUCAUCUGGAACCCUGCCUUUUCCCCUGGAGCUGUCUGAUACCCCCCACACACCCUCCCCCUCCCCCCCCAGCACUUGCUUCCUUCGCCCCUGGACUCCUGGGAGCAUUACAGAGACUGCUGCUGUGUGUCUGCUUGGCCUACACCCCUUGUUCCCAAGGAGUGACACCUGGAGCACACCUGAGUCCCAGAUACUGACUGACUAGACUUCCUAGCCUUGGUUGGUUCCUUGGCUGAGUCUUGCAUUUGCAGGGGCUCUGAUGCUCCUGUGCUAGAGAUACCUCUGUUCUGCUGUAUGCCUGAAGGACACUCACCUCUGAGGAAGGACUGGGGCUGGUGGGAGGUUUCGGAGGUUCCAUUCAGUUCUGGGAGCGUGGGGUUCUCCUGGGCCACAGGCCACAGCACUUGGGCACGGGGCUGGAGUCUCGGGAUGCUCUAGCCUGUUUCUUCUCAGGUUCCACCUCAGGCUUCAGCUCAGGCUCAGGCUCAGGCUCAGGCUUCAGCUCAGGCCUCGGUGGCAGAGGCCUCGGCUCGGGCCUUGGUGGCAGAGGCCUGGGCUCGGGCCUCGGUGGCAGAGGCCUCAGCUCGGGCCUCGGUGGCACAGGCCUCGGCUCGGGCCUCGGUAGCAGAGGCCUCGGCUCGGGCCUCGGUGGCACAGGCCUCGGCUCGGGCCUCGGUGGCACAGGCCUCGGCUCGUGGCACAGGCCUCUCCUCGGGCCUCGGUGGCACAGGCCUCUCCUCGGGCCUCGGUGGCUCAGGCCUCUCCUCGGGCCUCGGUGGCUCAGGCCUCUCCUCGGGCCUCGGUGGCUCAGGCCCUCGGGCCUCGGUGGCUCAGGCCUCUCCUCGGACUUAGGUGGCUCAGGCCUCUCCUCGGGCUUAGGUGGCUCAGGCCUCUCCUCAGGCUUAGGUGGCUCAGGCCUCGGCUCAGUCUUAGGUGGCUCAGGCCUUGGCUCAGGCCUUGGUGGCACAGGCCUUGACUUAGGCUUCUGCAGCUCUGGCUGGGCAAGAAGUUUAGCCUUAGGAGACUCAGAACCCUGGGUUAGGGGCCUGCAGUCGUCGUAGUCGUUCUCCUCUUCCUCCUCCUCCUCUUGCACAGUGAGCUCUGUUUUAAUUACUCGGCCCCUGAGGAGGAGAAGCAAAAAUCCUUGAGAUUAUCUCAAAAACAAGUCUUCUCCAGCUGAGUCUGGACCCCUCCCCCCCACCUUGCUGCUGGAUGGGGAAGCCCAAGGGUCACCUUGUCAUGGUUGGAGCACUCCCCCCCCCCAUCCUGUCCCUUCAGCUGCCUACUCUCCCCACCCCCUUCUCAGUAGAUGGGAGGAAGCAGUUGGUGAGAAGUCACUUUGCCAAGUUUGACAACUGUUCAGGGAGAGGCAGGAGACCCUCCUUUGGGAAGGACAAACUGGCUCCUGCCUGGCUGGGGGCAGGGUGGUGGUGGUGGUGUAAAACUGCUGCACACAAAAGGCUUUCUUUGAGAGGUCACAGCUAAAAAUGUGAAUGUCUCCCAUUCCUCUCCUCACACUUCUACCUUGGAUGGGAGCAAAACACCAAAGGGCACAUGGCUCUGUGUUAGGAAGGCAAACUCUGGAAGGGGUGGCAGGGCUUCUCCCCAUAAACAUUAUGCCGGGUGGAUUAAGGAGUCUGGGAUCCCAGUUGCAGGGAAGAAAAGCUUUGUACACAAAUGAAUGUGCACCUGGGAGUGCUGCGGCUGCUGCUCCAAAUUCCUGCCUGUGCACAGGGAACACUGGAGGGAGGGGGGGUUAAAGACAGGCACAGCCAGGAGAAAAGCAGUUUUGGUACUUAAACCCUUCUAGGGAAUAGCAAGGCACAUCAUCCUAUCUACCUACCCUCCAGUAUCCUGGUGGUAGUUAGGAGGUACAGGAUGUAAAAACAGGGAAACUUGCUCCAGAAUCUCUGGCCCCUCUGCACAGUUUAGCUGGGAGCGGGGUUGGGGGAGAAGCGGGGGGGGGGGCAUGCACCGGGGGAAAAUUUUCACACAGAAAAAUUUCACAUUUGCAAAAACAGCUGUGUACUCCCGCUGGGAAGAGAAAGAGAGCUGCCUCUCCCCUUUGCAUGGUAGAUUAGUGAAAGAAACCAUACUUUCCUUAUAGCUUUGUGUAGCCCUGUAAGUCCCAGUCCCAGUUGUCCUUUUGUCCCCUCAGAGGUUGAGGUCACUCUUAAGACCGGUUUAGCGGCAACUUUCCCCCUCUUCAGAGACCAACUGAAGGAUCCUAACUCUCCCAAGUCCCCAGCCACCUACCCACACCCGAAUAUUUAAACUGCGCAUUCACUUAUACACAAAAGGCAUGAACAAGGGGGAAAUCAGUUAGUUACCUGUACUCUAGUCGCUUCGUAGUUCCUGAAGUUCCCGGACGGUGGAUAAAGAGGACUGGGGAGUCACUGGUGCCCAAGAUUCUCUUCCGAAAUUGCCCGGACGAUGAUCCGCUGGCUGGGCCAAUAUUAGCAGCCUCCUCCAAAGCAGGGGGUGCUCUGGUUGUGGUGGCCGGGCCCUCCAGCCGUGGCGACGAUGUUGCGGCAGGGCUGGAAGGGGCUGAGUCUGAGUCUGAAGAGACGGUGAGAGGGAGUUCUGGAGCGUGCAUGAUAACAGAGCCCCUAGAAGCGGCUUCUGCUCUCCAGCACUGAGUAAGGCACCUGCUCGAAUGACACCACGCUUUUAUCCCUCACCUCGUCUCCUCCACGCCCACUUCCAGCCCCCUCCAAAUUUGGGAAAUGAUAUGCCAGCAAAGUACUGCAAAGACUUCUGGGGCAGCUGACUAUGGCGCAACACUAGGGUAUGGGGGCAUUAGAGGGUGGGGCUUUGGCCCCUGCCUGACAGACAGGAAGGCGUCUAUGUAGGUUUGAAUUAAGCUAGAAGCACUUCCUGUUAGCUAGGGGGUAGGGACUAUGUGCAGGGGUGGGGAGUGGGUGGGGCUUCACUGGAUUGACACCUGGCAGUCACUUGACACCCUGGAAUGUCUGUGGGCGUGGCACAGGUAAAAAGGGGCGUGGUUUAUGCAAAUUAGGGUCCGGAUUUAAAAUAAAUAUUAAAAUUACGUUCUAAGGUC
rnacentral:lncRNA from 1 species